GUUCUGAGGGUCGGUUAAAGGCCUUGGGAAUGUAUCUACCUACGGGUAGACUUAUAGACCAGGGUGUCAUGCGGCCUCUCGGGACCGAGGAACGCGCUUCGGCUCGGAUGUUGGCGUAAUGGUUGUCAGCGA
rnacentral:rRNA from 1 species